CGGCUGUAGCCAGAUCGAACGGAUCAGACGAGAAGUUAACUGGCCGGUAGCCGUGAGGAAUCAGAUUUUCUCCCGUCGGCUUAUCUGCUUACCGAACUUCUCACAUUU
rfam:Punica granatum cultivar Dabenzi scaffold98, whole genome shotgun sequence.